rnacentral:rRNA from 1 species
UCCAGACUCCUACGGGAGGCAGCAGUGGGGAAUAUUGCACAAUGGGGGGAACCCUGAUGCAGCGACGCCGCGUGAGUGAAGAAGUAUUUCGGUAUGUAAAGCUCUAUCAGCAGGGAAGAUAAUGACGGUACCUGACUAAGAAGCCCCGGCUAACUACGUGCCAGCAGCCGCGGUAAUACGUAGGGGGCAAGCGUUAUCCGGAUUUACUGGGUGUAAAGGGUGCGUAGGUGGCAGGGCAAGUCAGAUGUGAAAGCCCGGGGCCCAACCCCGGUACUGCAUUUGAAACUGUCCGGCUGGAGUGCAGGAGAGGUAAGCGGAAUUCCUAGUGUAGCGGUGAAAUGCGUAGAUAUUAGGAGGAACACCAGUGGCGAAGGCGGCUUACUGGACUGUAACUGACACUGAGGCACGAAAGCGUGGGGAGCAAACAGGAUUAGAUACCCCAGUAUA